GCCUGUAUCCACCUGGUGGCCUGAUCUUGUCGGAUCUCAGAAGUUAUGCAAGGUUGGGCCUGGUCAGUUCUGGGAUGGGAGACCUCUUAUAGAAUCCAGGCUGCUGGUG
rnacentral:rRNA from 1 species